rnacentral:rRNA from 1 species
AUCGGGAGGAACACCAGUGGCGAAAGCGGCNUCCUGGGCCGUUCCCUGACGGUUAAGACGCGAAAGCAUGGGUAGCGAACGGGAUUAGAAACCCCGGUAGUCCAUGCCGUAAACGAUGCGAACUUGGUGUUGGUGGUGUAAAAACCAUCCAGUACCGUAGCUAACGCGAUAAGUUCCGCCGCCUGGGGAUUACGAUCGCAAGGUUAAAACUCAAAGGAAUUGACGGGUUCCCGCACAAGCAGCGGAGCGUGUGGUUUAAUUCGAUGCUACGCGAAGAACCUUACCUGGGCUUGACAUAUAGGUGGUAGGGAUCCGAAAGGUGACCGACCCCUCGGGGAGCCUAUACAGGUGCUGCAUGGCUGUCGUCAGCUCGUGUCGUGAGAUGUCCGGUUAAGUCCGGUAACGAGCGCAACCCUUGCCGUAUGUUAUACGUGUCAUACGGGACUGCCGGUAUAAAGCCGGGGGAAGGCGGGGAUGACGUCAAGUCAGCAUGGCCUUUAUGUCCCAGGGCUACACACACGCUACAAUGGCCGGUACAAUGGGUCGCAAAACCGCAAGGUGGAGCCAAUCCUCAAAAUCGGUCUCAUUCGGAUU